AGAGUUUGAUUCUGGCUCAGAACGAACGCUGGCGGCGUGGAUAAGACAUGCAAGUCGAACGAGAGAAUUGCUAGCUUGCUAAUAAUUCUCUAGUGGCGCACGGGUGAGUAACACGUGAGUAACCUGCCCCCGAGAGCGGGAUAGCCCUGGGAAACUGGGAUUAAUACCGCAUAGUAUCGAAAGAUUAAAGCAGCAAUGCGCUUGGGGAUGGGCUCGCGGCCUAUUAGUUAGUUGGUGAGGUAACGGCUCACCAAGGCGAUGACGGGUAGCCGGUCUGAGAGGAUGUCCGGCCACACUGGAACUGAGACACGGUCCAGACACCUACGGGUGGCAGCAGUCGAGAAUCAUUCACAAUGGGGGAAACCCUGAUGGUGCGACGCCGCGUGGGGGAAUGAAGGUCUUCGGAUUGUAAACCCCUGUCAUGUGGGAGCAAAUUAAAAAGAUAGUACCACAAGAGGAAGAGACGGCUAACUCUGUGCCAGCAGCCGCGGUAAUACAGAGGUCUCAAGCGUUGUUCGGAAUCACUGGGCGUAAAGCGUGCGUAGGCUGUUUCGUAAGUCGUGUGUGAAAGGCGCGGGCUCAACCCGCGGACGGCACAUGAUACUGCGAGACUAGAGUAAUGGAGGGGGAACCGGAAUUCUCGGUGUAGCAGUGAAAUGCGUAGAUAUCGAGAGGAACACUCGUGGCGAAGGCGGGUUCCUGGACAUUAACUGACGCUGAGGCACGAAGGCCAGGGGAGCGAAAGGGAUUAGAUACCCCUGUAGUCCUGGCAGUAAACGGUGCACGCUUGGUGUGCGGGGAAUCGACCCCCUGCGUGCCGGAGCUAACGCGUUAAGCGUGCCGCCUGGGGAGUACGGUCGCAAGAUUAAAACUCAAAGAAAUUGACGGGGACCCGCACAAGCGGUGGAGUAUGUGGCUUAAUUCGAUGCAACGCGAAGAACCUUACCUGGGCUUGACAUGUAAUGAACAACAUGUGAAAGCAUGCGACUCUUCGGAGGCGUUACACAGGUGCUGCAUGGCCGUCGUCAGCUCGUGUCGUGAGAUGUUUGGUUAAGUCCAGCAACGAGCG
rnacentral:rRNA from 1 species